CCUACGGGUCGCAGCAGUGGGGAAUAUUGGACAAUGGGCGAAAGCCUGAUCCAGCCAUGCCGCGUGUGUGAAGAAGGCCUUCGGGUUGUAAAGCACUUUCUGUGGGGAAGAAAGCCUUGGGGCUAAUACCCUCGAGGAAGGACAUCACCCACAGAAGAAGCACCGGCUAACUCCGUGCCAGCAGCCGCGGUAAUACGGAGGGUGCGAGCGUUAAUCGGAAUUACUGGGCGUAAAGCGCGCGUAGGCGGUCUGAUAAGCCGGUUGUGAAAGCCCCGGGCUCAACCUGGGAACGGCAUCCGGAACUGUCAGGCUAGAGUGCAGGAGAGGAAGGUAGAAUUCCCGGUGUAGCGGUGAAAUGCGUAGAGAUCGGGAGGAAUACCAGUGGCGAAGGCGGCCUUCUGGACUGACACUGACGCUGAGGUGCGAAAGCGUGGGUAGCAAACAGGAUUAGAUACCCCAGUAGUC
rnacentral:rRNA from 1 species